GGGGGUAGGGAUGAAAGAUGCAGAGAGAGGCUGACAGGAAGCUGGCAAAGGGACUUCAGAAAAAGGGUGACACUGUGGCCGCGGCCGAGGUGGUCUGAAGGAUUUGACCGCUCCCAGCAAAGGUUCCUUUUCUGACAGUUAUAAUGUUACUGUAACACAACACCCGGAGGGAAAAGCCCAGUGCUAAUCGGGGCUCAAGAAGUCAGUGGACUUGGUGUACAGAGUGGGGUGUUUAAUUUUAUGAUGUGGCUACGGGUUCCAUGAGAGACUAAUAAAAGAACUCCAUAAAAUGCGGCUUGGAGGCACCGGGCUGCAGCCUCUGCUAGAGGGUCACCCUGCUCAGAAGUGGUUUCAGAGCAGGGCCAGUGUCUAGCUGGUAUGCACUGGGUAUGGCCAUUCCGGUUCGUAGACCAUUCAGAGACUUCUGUGCCCGUUAUUACAGAGCUGCUACUCUUAGGCUCCUAAGUGCCUCCCUGCUGCUGCACUGACUGCCCAGCCCCCAUCCAGGACCUCCCCAGGACCCAGCAACCGAAUACGGGCUGCUUGCAGACCCCACUCUGUGUCUCCAGUGCCACAUCGGUUUGGAGUGGCCGGUGCCCACGCAGUUAUCAGUUGGUGCGCAUUUAAAAUGUCACCCGUUCGGGGCGCCUGCGUGGCUCAGUCGGUUGAGUGUCGGACUUCGGCUCAGGUCAUGAUCUCGUGAUCCGUGAGUUCGAGCCCCGCGUCGGGCUUUGUGCUAACACCUCAGAGCCUGGAGCACGCUUUGGAUUCUGUGUCUCCCUCUCUCUGACCUUCCGCCGUUCAUGCUCUGUCCCUCUCUGUCUCAAAAAUAAAUAAACGUUAAAAAAAAAUUAAAAAAAAAAUAGUCACCCGUUCUACAGCAUAUCUUCCUGGGGGUGAGGCCUGGCAGAUACCUGUGGAGCAGACCAGGGACAGUUCCAUCGGACUCCCCUUCUUGGAUUCCAGACCAGUCCAGGGUGCCCAAAGGAGGCUUUCUUAAGAGGUGACUCUCAUUCCCCUGGUUGCUUCAAGGACACACCCAACUGUUCCCUUGAAUCAUAUUUGACUGCCUCAAAGGAGAGUGUUAAUAAGCAGAGGAAUGACUUCAGGGUUGAAGAAUAUUUUUGGGAGAAAGAGACAAAUUUGCAUAAUAUUUCCCAAGCAGGAAUUGCAUUUGCCAUAGAGUUUGAAUUAGAAGGAAACUUAGACAUCUGGUCUCUCUUUAUAGCCAGUGUGGCCCCUUCUAUAGCAACCUUCCCAGGAGAUAGUCAGCCCCUUCUAGGUCAUGCCCCUUGCCAGGGAACUCAGCUCUCUGAAAGAAGCCUCCUGUAUGAACCAACAGGAACUGAAGUUUUCCUAACAAAUGAGAAGUAUGAGCCCCCUUUGUUGAGCUGAAAUCUUUCUAUACAUCUCAACUUUUUGUUCCUCACCUUGAUGGGAUUGCAAGUUCAAAGAGAGCCUCAAAGCAAGCAAUGCCAUCUACUAACCUGUCCUAUAGUAUCAAGUGAGGUGAGAGGUCAUGCAAUCAUUUGUUCAUUCAUUCAUUCAUUCAUUCAACCUAUGUUUACUGAGUGGACACAAAGUGCCAGACCAUGUCCCUGGUGCUGGAGAUUCAGCAGUAAACUGGAAAUGGUUCUGCUCUGGGAGACUGUCCAGUCCACUGGGGCCAGUAAUAGACAUCUGGAGAGACCAGAGGAAGCUGGGGUGGUUGAGCUUUGCCUCUGAACCCCAUUCCACGUGGGUGGGGCUGUCCUGAGUGACUGUGGGUAAGAAGCUUCUGUCUAUGGUUUUCCUUUGCCCUCACCGGUUGCUAACAGCCUGGUGAGUCCACUGAAAGCAUCGAGUCCUCGAGAUGGGCCCUCGUUGUACAGACAUGGAGAUGGAGAGGCCAAGGACUUUCGCCACCAUCCUCCUCACACUCUUGGAAAAGUGCUCGUGAGCAUCAGCCAACAUUAUAUAACGUGUUUUGCUGAAUGAACAAUUGAAGAGAAUAAUUCUUUUGUCCUCCAUAAACCAGAAAUAUUGGACAAUCUGGAUAAGAAAAAAAGAAGACAGUAAAAAUUAUUCAUAGAUUCAUCAUCUACAGAAAACAAUUUGGUGUUGUGCGUGCAAACUUUUUUUUCUUGGUGUAUUGUAGAUCUGCAGAUGUGGGAGAACACACACAUACACACACACACACACACACACACACACGUGCAUUUUGGACUCUAUCUUUUUUGCCCAGUUAUUUUCCCAGUGACCACAGCUUUAAAGUAAAUCCAAUUAUUAAAAAAAAAAUCACAUUAUUGUGCAUAACUUUGAAGGGCUUCCCCCAAAGAAACCAGUGGAGAACAAAGAGUUUAAUGGUCUUCUAAGCAGAUUGGGCAUCUGCCAGAGACCGCAGAUCAAGUUUGUCCUUCAUUUAUGUGAAGAGGCUGAGGGUGGGAUGGAGAUUUUUAUAAGAUGGUACAUUGGCUGCCCUUGACUUCCAACUCCAAUCUGGUACUUCUCUCCAUGAGGCAACCACUGGGAAUGAUGGUGGUGGAGGAGUGAGGACAAACAGACCCAGGGAAGGGAGCGGCAGCUGGACAGCUUUGAGCUUUGAGCUCCCCUCUGAGCCAACAGACGGAGAGCACAGAGAUGAGGCUGUCUGUGUGUGUGUGUGUCCUGGGCUCCAUCAGCAUUCAUGGGCGACCUCCCUGGUCCCAGGCUGUUGAGGAGAAGCUGAACCUGGGAAGACAGCAGAGCUGAGACCCUUCUUUCUUCCUGGUGCCUUGAUCAGAACUGACUCCCUAUAUACAGCUACUCCCAGGACUGCUGCCACUUAAGGAACCCCUAGAAGCUGGCCCUGAGCUUCAAAGGACAGAUAAAAGAAACCUGUGCACAUAAGAGGGCUCAGCAGGCAGAGAGAGGGGGAAGAAGAACCCACCGAACAGCUCCUCAAGGAAAUAACACUGACAGCCUGUGCAGAAGUAACAAGGACCUUCAAACACAGUCCCAAAAAAGGACUUCCAGGAACUAAAUCAUAUUUUUAAUGAAAAUAAUCAUUGAAUGAAUGAAGGCAGAAUAUAGACUUAGAAGAUCAAGUGCAAAAAUAUCCCAAACAGGGGCGCCUGGGUGCCGUUUGAGCGUCCGACUCUUGAUUUCGGUCAUGAUCUCAAAUGGUUUGUGAGUUCAAGCCCUGGGUCAGGUUCUGUGUUGACAGCAUGGAACCUGCUUGGGAUUCUCUCUCUCCCCCUCUCUCUCUGCCCCUCCCCUGCUGUCUCUCUCGAAAAUGAAUAAACAUUAAAAAUAAUAAUAUAUUGAAAAUACUUUAUAAAAAAAAUCCUAAACAUAGAACAAGAAUACAAAGAGAUGGAAAUCAUGCAGGGACAAUAAGAGAGAAGGUAGCUAAUGUCAGCAGACCUAAGAUAUCAAUCCCCGGAGUUCCAGGAGGAGAAAAAGAAAUAGCUGAAGGAGAGGGAAUAAUUAGACAAAUGAUAGAAGAUAACUGCCCUGAGUGGGAAAGACCGGGGUCUAAGGUUUACAAACAACACCGGGGGGGUUGGGGGUCACUAGCACUGAAAGCCACAUACCUAAGCCCGUCCAGAUAAAAUUCUUGAAAGGCACGUGUAAAGAGAACCUCUUUCCCUCUUCAGUACAAAGAGGGAAACAUUAGUUACAAAGGAAUGGAAAGGAGAUGGGGGUCACAUUUCACACCUCUAAUAACGGGGACUCGAAGAUGGCUGAAAAAUACUAGAGCUGUCUUGCUGGUCAGGAUAAAACAAAACAAGCCUUACCUGGGUGCCCAGGCCUUUUGAGAAAAAAACCUCUAGAAAGAACCGUCAGCAACACAGACAAGUCAAGACAGGGGAAGAUGAAGAAGUUGGUGGGGAGCAUUUGGGCCCCUGGAUCACUCUGUCUGUAUGUCUCUCUGUCCCUCUCUGUCUCUCUGAGGCUGUCGCAGCCAAGGCCUCAGCUGAACCCAAGGGGGAACUUUGGCGUGGAGCCCCUCUGAGCCCGGAUGGGUCUGGCCUGUUCACCAGGCAGGAACCAGCAGUGAGGGUGCCCCAGGGAAGGAAGCAGACCUGGGGUGUGGCAGUUCCCUUCAGCUCCAGGCAGUUGUCUGAGGGAGAGAGAUGUAGCUGGGGAGCCGACAGCAGCCAACGCUCCUUCCGCUGGGAGGGAGGGACACCACGUCCUCCACUAUCUGGGUGGUUGUGCCGGGGCUGUGCUGGGAGAUGCUUACCAAUCAGUUUGGGGGGUGCAGAGCUCUGAUUUGUGGCUUCUGCCUAUUUUUGUGGUCUAAAUACUCAAUCAUGGCUGAUAUCAACCUACCAAAGUGAUAUCGCUGCCCACAGAGGUGGGAGAAGGUGCAGGCAGCUGCCUCCCAGGGGCUGGUGCCAGCUGGCUCCCAUCCCCCACUGUGUGCACCAAGGACCUUAGGGGGUACGCGGAGCAGGGGACAACAGGAGGAGCAGCAGGUGGGGCUGCGGGGCGUCCUGUGCAGUGCUAGUGCACUGGCCCUGGCAGGGGUCCCUCCUUUGGACUCAUUUUCUUCUUUUGGGGUCACCUUUCUAACCCUCCUCUCUCCAGUCCCUUCCCCCUGUCCCUUCAUUCACCCCAGUAAAUUGGUAUUCUUUGCAGGUAGUAUUCCAGGAGGAAUCUCAAACCCUCAUUCUUUGUGAAGUCCACGUGACCAUCAAAUCAGGAGGCUGUUUCUCUGUGGGCAGUUCUGAGAAUCAAGGAUCCUGUUCAUUCUGGAUUUGAAAAGACAGACCUAGGAAGGAGGUGGGCACUCACUCACCAUCUCUGAAAAAAGACACAUGUGGCUAUUUUGGUAAGAAAACCCAAGAGAGAGAGAGAAAAAAAAUGAACACAGGAAAGACUUUUCUGAUAAUGAGAAGUGAGAAGACAUCUAUUGAAAUGGAUCUAAAGUAUAUGGUGCACUGUGCAGCACGGGCUCACUUGAAAAUGAAC